GGGGAAUAUUGCACAAUGGGCGAAAGCCUGAUGCAGCAACGCCGCGUGAGGGACGACGGCCUUCGGGUUGUAAACCUCUUUUAGUAGGGAAGAAGCGAAAGUGACGGUACCUGCAGAAAAAGCACUGGCUAACUACGUGCCAGCAGCCGCGGUAAUACGUAGGGUGCAAGCGUUAUCCGGAAUUAUUGGGCGUAAAGAGCUCGUAGGCGGUUUGUCGCGUCUGCUGUGAAAACCCGAGGCUCAACCUCGGGCCUGCAGUGGGUACGGGCAGACUAGAGUGCGGUAGGGGAGAUUGGAAUUCCUGGUGUAGCGGUGGAAUGCGCAGAUAUCAGGAGGAACACCGAUGGCGAAGGCAGAUCUCUGGGCCGUAACUGACGCUGAGGAGCGAAAGCAUGGGGAGCGAAC
rnacentral:rRNA from 1 species